AUUGAACGCUGGCGGCAGGCUUAACACAUGCAAGUCGAGCGGUAACAGAGAGAAGCUUGCUUCUCUGCUGACGAGCGGCGGACGGGUGAGUAAUGCCUAGGAAUCUGCCUAGUAGUGGGGGAUAACUUGCCGAAAGGUAAGCUAAUACCGCAUACGUCCUACGGGAGAAAGGAGGGGACCUUCGGGCCUUUCGCUAUUAGAUGAGCCUAGGUCGGAUUAGUUAGUUGGUGAGGUAAUGGCUCACCAAGACCGCGAUCCGUAACUGGUCUGAGAGGAUGAUCAGUCACACGGGAACUGAGACACGGUCCAGACUCCUACGGGAGGCAGCAGUGGGGAAGAUUGGACAAUGGGGGGAACCCUGAGCCAGCCUUGCCGCGUGUGUGAAGAAGGUCUUAGGAUUGUAAAGCACUUUAAGUUGGGAGGAAGAGCAGUUAACUAAUAUUUGACUGUUUUGACGUUACCGACAGAAUAAGCACCGGCUAACUUCGUGCCAGCCGCCGCCGUAA
rnacentral:rRNA from 1 species